CUAACGCCUGAACCGAUGACACUGGGAUCUAGUCCAGAAAUAUAUAUUGAAUGGAAAACAUCCACUGAAAGAGCAGAAUGAGAACAUGGCCUUACUGUCACUUCUAAGAUAAGACUAAUAAUGGCAGCCUGGGGAUGAGACUUCACUAAUGACUGAGAUAAUUGUUAUUCCAUUUGCAUCGUAAAGCUUAUGCUAAGGCGUUUGCUAUUUAAGCCCCGCAUAGCCAGGCAGACAACAGUUCUACAGCUUUACUUUCAACAGUCAAUUAUGUCUCUGCGUCUGGUUCUGAUCUGCCUGGCUUUCUUCGUGGCGGUGUACGCCCAACCAGCUCCAGGAGCUCCACAGUAUGCCAAAGAGACUUUACCAGUCGAUGGGACUUUAUUGGUCCCCUCUGCUGAUGUAAAUCCCGCAGAUGGGGCUAAACCACGUACCCUUUUGCUGCUUCUACCUCUGCUGUUUCCCGAUCAGUUCUAUUAAUAAAGUAAUAAAUGUAAUAACGUUUAUUUAUUAAUCAAGCAA